rnacentral:rRNA from 1 species
UACGUAGGUCCCGAGCGUUGUCCGGAUUUAUUGGGCGUAAAGCGAGCGCAGGUGGUUUAUUAAGUCUGGUGUAAAAGGCAGUGGCUCAACCAUUGUAUGCAUUGGAAACUGGUAGACUUGAGUGCAGGAGAGGAGAGUGGAAUUCCAUGUGAAGCGGUGAAAUGCGUAGAUAUAUGGAGGAUCACCGGUGGCGAAAGCGGCUCUCUGGCCUGUAACUGACACUGAGGCUCGAAAGCGUGGGGAGCAAACAGG